GUUCGGAAUAACAGUUGGAAACGACUGCUAAUACCGGAUGAUGACGUAAGUCCAAAGAUUUAUCGCCGAGGGAUGAGCCCGCGUAGGAUUAGCUAGUUGGUGUGGUAAAGGCGCACCAAGGCGACGAUCCUUAGCUGGUCUGAGAGGAUGAUCAGCCACACUGGGACUGAGACACGGCCCAG
rnacentral:rRNA from 1 species